CGGCGAGUGAAGCGGCAACAGCUCAAAUUUGAAAUCUGGCUUCGGCCCGAGUUGUAAUUUGCAGAGGAAGCUUUAGGCGCGGCACCUUCUGAGUCCCCUGGAACGGGGCGCCAUAGAGGGUGAGAGCCCCGUAUAGUUGGAUGCCUAGCCUGUGUAAAGCUCCUUCGACGAGUCGAGUAGUUUGGGAAUGCUGCUCAAAAUGGGAGGUAAAUUUCUUCUAAAGCUAAAUACCGGCCAGAGACCGAUAGCGCACAAGUAGAGUGAUCGAAAGAUGAAAAGCACUUUGAAAAGAGGGUUAAAUAGCACGUGAAAUUGUUGAAAGGGAAGCGCUUGUGACCAGACUUGCGCCGGGCGGAUCAUCCGGUGUUCUCACCGGUGCACUCCGCCCGGCUCAGGCCAGCAUCGGUUCUCGCGGGGGGAUAAAGGUCCUGGGAACGUAGCUCCUCCGGGAGUGUUAUAGCCCGGGGCGUAAUGCCCUCGCGGGGACCGAGGUUCGCGCAUCUGCAAGGAUGCUGGCGUAAUGGUCAUCAGCGAC
rnacentral:rRNA from 1 species